UUAAGUUGGAUGUGAAAUCCUAUGGCUCAACCAUAGAACUGCAUCCAAAACUGAGGGGCUAGAGUCUGGGAGGGGAAGAUGGAAUUAGUGGUGUAGGGGUAAAAUCCGUAGAGAUCACUAGGAAUACCAAAAGCGAAGGCGAUCUUCUGGAACAGUACUGACGCUGAGGCGCGAAAGCGUGGGGAGCAAACAGGAUUAGAUACCCUGGUAGUCCACGCCCUAAACUAUGAAUGUUAGUCGUCGGGAGGCUCGUCCUCUCGGUGAUGCAGCUAACGCAUUAAACAUUCCGCCUGGGGAGUACGGUCGCAAGAUUAAAACUCAAAGGAAUAGACGGGGACCCGCACAAGUGGUGGAGCAUGUGGUUUAAUUCGAAGAUACGCGAAGAACCUUACCUGGCCUUGACAUUGAUAGAAUCUGCUAGAGAUAGCGGAGUGCCCUUCGGGGAGCUUGAAAACAGGUGCUGCACGGCUGUCGUCAGCUCGUGUCGUGAGAUGUUGGGUUAAGUCCCGCAACGAGCGCAACCCUCGUCACUAGUUACUAACGGUUCGGCCGAGGACUCUAGUGAGACUGCCUUCGUAAGGAGGAGGAAGGUGAGGACGACGUCAAGUCAUCAUGGCCCUUACGGCCAGGGCGACACACGUGCUACAAUGGGAUGUACAAUGAGACGCAAUACCGCGAGGUGGAGCAAAUCUAUAAAGCAUCUCUCAGUUCGGAUUGUAGUCUGCAACUCGACUACAUGAAGCUGGAAUCACUAGU
rnacentral:rRNA from 1 species